rnacentral:rRNA from 1 species
CCUACGGGAGGCAGCAGUAGGGAAUUUUCGUCAAUGGGCGCAAGCCUGAACGAGCGAUGCCGCGUGAGUGAAGAAGGCCUUCGGGUCGUAAAGCUCUGUUGCGGGGGAAAAAAGGCAGCAUCAGGAAAUGGGUGCUGACUGAUGGUGCCCCGCCAGAAAGUCACGGCUAACUACGUGCCAGCAGCCGCGGUAAUACGUAGGUGGCGAGCGUUAUCCGGAAGGAUUGGGCGUAAAGGGUGCGCAGGCGGUCCUGCAAGUCUGGAGUGAAACGCAUGAGCUCAACUCAUGCAUGGCUUUGGAAACUGGAGGACUGGAGAGCAGGAGAGGGUGGUGGAACUCCAUGUGUAGCGGUAAAAUGCGUAGAUAUAUGGAAGAACACCAGUGGCGAAGGCGGCCGCCUGGCCUGUUGCUGACGCUGAGGCACGAAAGCGUGGGGAGCAAAUAGGAUUAGAUACCCCUGUAGUC